CCGCCUUACAGAUGAGAGCUUGCAGUCCUGCGUCAAGAUUAAAGUUACAUCUUACAUGCCGGAUGUUGAGAAGCUGUCCAGUGAUGUCCGAAAACAGAAGUCACAUUAAACGGGUCCGAGGAUGGCUGUGCAUCAAAAGAGAAGAGGAUGAUGCUGCAUUUUACCCUUGCACUGACUUACUUAGCAUUUUCAUAAAACUAUAGAGAAGAGGACUAUGCACAGAAAUCGAACUGAAUUAUUUUUGUCACGGGCAUGACUGAGCUGCUUUUAUGUUUUACUGAGUUUUAUACUGUUUUAAUGCAUGUUUUAUGCAUGGUUUAAAUACGUUUCCAGUUAAUUUCAAAAGGCUGCUGUUUUAUUGCACUCUGUCUAUUGGCCAGAUAAGGGGGGAAAGAGAAGAUAAUUGUAUUGUAUUGUAUUAUUGAGGAUUGAAGAGGACUGCAUUUCAUUUCCAUGGGGAGGUCUGAAAUUAGGCUACAGGAGGCCUAUGCACGUUGCACAUUUUGUUGUAUUUUCGAAUCCUAAAGUAAAAAUGACAUCAAAAAUCA